rnacentral:lncRNA from 1 species
AACAGAAGUCAUCUGUAGAGCCUUCAAAGAAGAAAGGGAAAUCUCAUGGGAAAAAGAACAGGAAAAGGAAGCGAUCCAAAGGAGUAGCAUCUGCUAUCUGAUGAUUCUUGUAGGGGUAAUCUGAUCUUGAAGAAUGAACAAGAACAGUUCUGCAAUGAGCCAAUUUGUCCAGUGUAAGUUCGCUGCAUGUUCUCUAUAAGCAUAUGGUAAUCUGAUCUUGAAGAAUGAAAAAGAACAGUUCUGCAAUGAGCCAAUUUGUCCAGUGUAAGUUCGCUGCAUGUUUUCUAUAAGCAUAAAUUAUCUAUCCUGUAAAAGUCAGCUAUCAAUUUUGUUUUUUUAUCCUUUUUUUUCCCCCUGCCCAAUAGACAAUUCAUAUAACUAAUCCCAACUAGUUGAGGAUUGAGAUGUAAUUAAUUGAUUGAUCCAUUUCUGUGGUGGUGCUUAUACAGGUCUGUUUGCCUGUUCUUUUUUAUACCCUUUUGUUUCCCUUUUUUCCUUUCAAGAAUGCUGCUUUCUAUUCGAGUAGCCGCUAUUUUUUUUCCGUAACAAAGAAUUGUUAUAUUUUUAAAACUGUAACUUGUAAUACUUUUUAUGUAGUUAAACAGCUUCUGAAAAUAAAUUCGAAAU